UACGGGGGAUGCAAGCGUUAUCCGGAAUCAUUGGGCGUAAAGCGCCUGUAGGUUGUUUAUUAAGUCCGUUGUUAAAGACUAGGGCUUAACUCUAGAAAAGCAAUGGAAACUAGUAAGCUAGAGUAUGGCAGGGGUAGAGGGAAUUUCUAGUGUAGCGGUGAAAUGCGUAGAUAUUAGAAAGAACACCGGUGGCGAAAGCGCUCUACUGGACCAUUACUGACACUCAGAGGCGAAAGCUAGGGUAGCAAAAGGGAUUAGAUACCCCUGUAGUCCUAGCCGUAAACGAUGGAUACUAGAUGUUGUGCAUAACGUACAGUAUCGUAGCUAACGCGUUAAGUAUCCCGCCUGGGGAGUACGCACGCAAGUGUG
rnacentral:rRNA from 1 species